AUGACAGGAGAGUGUUGUUACUGAAGCAACAUGCAGAAGCUGUCUUUCUCUGAGAAUCAGCAUGAAUGUACCACAGGUGACAGAGGAAUUGUGUUCCUAAGAGAAGGUCGAGAUGCAUCAGAUUCUGGUUGUGAGUCAACAAACUAGAUAUACCCCGACAGUCAUCAGGGAAGGUGACAGAUCUCAACCUUCAGAAGAAAAAAUAUGCAGAAGGGAUUACAAAAUCAUCUCUAUCUCUGGUUACAGCACCCCUCUCUAUUCAUAUUCAACUCUUGGAUACUACCAUAAAAGCUAGAACUCAACUAAGUAAUUCAAAACAGAGCAAGGGAAGUAGAAAUGGUGAUGAACCAGGACGGAGAAGAUCUGGUUCCAGAAAUUAUAAUUAACAUGAACUAGUUGGUCACCUGGAACUUAAUUACAGCACUACGCUGAAAUAAGGUAAUAGAUGUGAUAAGCUGUACGUCCUCUGCCAACUCAAGAAAUUUUUAGUCCACCUUGUUCUUCACACUGUCAACUUUUAACUGGACAUUUCCAAAUACUGCUCUCCUGAGGCCCUGCAUUAAUAUGGCCCCGAUUCCGACUUUGGACCAGACAGCCAAUGUUGUCAACUCUUUCUGAAUGAUAUUCAGGAACAGGUUGGGUAUUAGAAGAUAUUAACAAAAGUUGAACAAUGUUCCUCUGGAAGAUAAGCCCCCAUGAUACUUCAAAAGCUCAAAUGCUGACAAAAAGCCUAUCUACUCACCCAGCACCACCUCCUGAAUUGGUGCCUCUCCAGCCUCAGCAUCCUGUGGUCCCAUUUUCUGGGCUGUCCCUGCAACAAGUUCCAACAGAAUCAUAUUUUCCAAAAUCAAAUAUUUUAGGUGAUGGACAGAACAGGAUCCAGCAUUUCUACUCAGUGCUCCAGUUCUGAGACUAUCUGGGUUAAAAGAAACUAGAGGCAACAGAGCCUCAAACCCCACCAGCUUAGCCAAGGGAGGAAAUGAUGCAGUGCAAACAAAACUUGCCAUUCCUUCUACUCUGCAGGUCUAGCCCAAAUGGUGUAGUACGAGUCUGUUUCCUUGCCUAUGUUGACCUUAGAGCAAGAUGAAGAUGCACAAAGCAUAUAAUGGAUACACACUUGUAACUGUAAAGCCUUGUAUAUGAGCAAUGGAUUUUAAAGUCUAUAAUACUGAGAUUGCUAAAAAUACUUGCUUUGUUUUGUCUUUUAGUAAUUUAUAGCCCAUUAUAUUUCAGCAAAUAUUUUAAAGCAUAUUUGAGAUUUCUCAGAAUUUAACCUAUGACUAUCAUUUAGGCAAAGGCCAUUAGAUGGGAUAAUUCCCAUCGGUCAAUUCCUUUAGUCAUUUUAAUAGGUACAAAAAGUUAUCCCUGUAAAAAAGCCUGGCUGACAAAAAAAAAUAAAAAUAAAAAUAAAAAAGCCUGGCUGAGUGAUAUUACUCAAAAUCUCCUGCUUCAGUGUUGCCCAAAUGAUCUAAUAAGCUCCCUAUGUAUGAGACCACCACUAAGCCUAUGUCCCUUAGAGCAGUUUAAUCCCCAAGUCCCUCUAAAGAAUCAUUCGGAAGAGCUCUAGGAAACACUUCCUACUCCCUCCCCCCAGAUUUGUCCCCACUAUCACUCACAGUUGAUCUCUGCUGUUGCUCUCUGACACAGAUCUUUCAAGUUCAUCUUGCCAAAGAUUUUGAGAGUCACAUCCCAGGCCUGCCCUCCUGGAUAGUGUUUGUUAAUCAGUUCCUCCAAAUACAAUAGGAUCCCAAAAUCAGAAAAGAAGGAAAACGAUGACGAUGAAUCUGCCAUCUUGUCCAUGGAUCAGAAUUCAGGCUUCAGUGGGGAAAAAGAAAUUUUUAAAAACAUGGAAUAAAUGGGACAUGUGGAAAAGUA